rnacentral:rRNA from 1 species
UACGUAGGUGGCAAGCGUUUAUCCGGAAUUAUUGGGCGUAAAGCGCGCGCAGGCGGUUUCUUAAGUCUGAUGUGAAAGCCCCACGGCUCAACCGUGGAGGGUCAUUGGAAACUGGGGAACUUGAGUGCAGAAGAGAAAAAGCGGAAUUCCACGUGUAGCGGUGAAAUGCGUAGAGAUGUGGAGGAACACCAGUGGCGAAGGCGGCUUUUUGGUCUGUAACUGACGCUGAGGCGCGAA